UGUGAACAGGAAAGAGACACAGCCUGUGCUGCCCCACAGAGAGCCUGCAGGCAAAGGGGCCCGGGCAAGCCCGGAGGCUCAGGGGCGGUGCCACACAGGUGCUUCGAGAGGGCAAAUUUCGUUCUCAUCAGCCACCCAGGGACGGGGUGGGCUCAUUCGCGGAGAAAGCCUCCCCUGACCGUGACCAGCUGCAGGAAAUGAGUGUCAACACCCCCACAGACGGGAGCCCCAACCCGAGGGUGAACAGGCUGGCGUCUGGAGUCGCAAGUCUCCCUCCUUCAACCCCCGGCCCUCCCUCUCCCCCAGGUCUCGGCUCCAGGCCUCACCCUCCUCCCCAGAGGCCGUCAACAGGAAGUUCAGUCAGCUGGAACACUCCGUUCCCUUGACAUUUUUGUUUUAAUUCUGCAGCUGUGUUUAAAGCCUCAUGCCUCGCGCGUUCUCUCUGG